rnacentral:rRNA from 1 species
AGAGUUUGAUCCUGGCUCAGGACGAACGCUGGCGGCGUGCCUAACACAUGCAAGUCGAACGGGGUCGGCCCCUUCGGGGACUGACUUAGUGGCGAACGGGUGAGUAACGCGUGAAUAACCUGCCUUUCAGUGGGGGACAACAGUUGGAAACGACUGCUAAUACCGCAUGAUGUUUCCGGGAGGCAUCUUCUGGAAACCAAAGCUUUAUGUGCUGAAAGAUGGAUUCGCGUCUGAUUAGCUAGUUGGUGAGGUAACGGCUCACCAAGGCGACGAUCAGUAGCCGGUCUGAGAGGAUGAACGGCCACAUUGGGACUGAGAUACGGCCCAGACUCCUACGGGAGGCAGCAGUGGGGAAUAUUGGGCAAUGGGGGAAACCCUGACCCAGCAACGCCGCGUGAAGGAAGAAGGCCUUCGGGUUGUAAACUUCUUUUAGCAGGGACGAAGGACGUGACGGUACCUGCAGAAAAAGCAACGGCUAACUACGUGCCAGCAGCCGCGGUAAUACGUAGGUUGCAAGCGUUGUCCGGAUUUACUGGGUGUAAAGGGCGUGUAGGCGGAGAUGCAAGUUAGGAGUGAAAUCCAUGGGCUCAACCCAUGAACUGCUUCUAAAACUGUAUCCCUUGAGUAUCGGAGAGGCAAGCGGAAUUCCUAGUGUAGCGGUGAAAUGCGUAGAUAUUAGGAGGAACACCAGUGGCGAAGGCGGAUUACUGGACGGUAACUGACGGUGAGGCGCGAAAGCGUGGGGAGCAAACAGGAUUAGAUACCCUGGUAGUCCACGCUGUAAACGAUGGAUACUAGGUGUGCGGGGACUGACCCCCUGCGUGCCGCAGUUAACACAAUAAGUAUCCCACCUGGGGAGUACGAUCGCAAGGUUGAAACUCAAAGGAAUUGACGGGGGCCCGCACAAGCGGUGGAUUAUGUGGUUUAAUUCGAAGCAACGCGAAGAACCUUACCAGGUCUUGACAUCCUGCUAACGAAGUAGAGAUACAUUAGGUGCCCUUCGGGGAAAGCAGAGACAGGUGGUGCAUGGUUGUCGUCAGCUCGUGUCGUGAGAUGUUGGGUUAAGUCCCGCAACGAGCGCAACCCCUAUUGUUAGUUGCUACGCAAGAGCACUCUAGCGAGACUGCCGUUGACAAAACGGAGGAAGGUGGGGACGACGUCAAAUCAUCAUGCCCCUUAUGACCUGGGCUACACACGUAAUACAAUGGCGGUCAACAAAGGGAUGCAAAGCCGCGAGGCAGAGCGAACCCCAAAAAGCCGUCCCAGUUCGGAUCGCAGGCUGCAACCCGCCUGCGUGAAGUCGGAAUCGCUAGUAAUCGUGGGUCAGCAUACCACGGUGAAUACGUUCCCGGGCCUUGCACACAAGGCCCGUCAAG